UAAUACGUAGGGACCGAGCGUUGUCCGGAUUCAUUGGGCGUAAAGAGCUCGUAGGCGGCCACUCAAGUCGAAUGUGAAACCUCGAGGCUUAACCUCGAGCCUGCAUUCGAUACUGGGCGGCUAGAGUCUGGUAGGGGGAUCUGGAAUUCCUGGUGUAGCGGUGGAAUGCGCAGAUAUCAGGAGGAACACCGGUGGCGAAGGCGGGAUCCUGGGCCAGUACUGACGCUGAGGAGCGAAAGCGUGGGGAGCAAACAGGAUUAGAUACCCUGGUAGUCCACGCCGUAAACGAUGGGCGCUAGGUGUGGGAGGUCAUCGACUCCUUCCGUGCCGCAGCUAACGCAUUAAGCGCCCCGCCUGGGGAGUACGGCCGCAAGGCUA
rnacentral:rRNA from 1 species